UUUGGUUUUCCUACCCCAUCCUGAUGUCUUUCACAUGUUUCCCAGCCCUUGUGUCACCUGUCCCUUGUUAACUCUUGUUUACUUGUGUAUUUAGCCUCUGUGCUUUCUGUGUCAGUCACCAUGACAAUAAAAACAGAAACUAACUGGACCCCAAACGAGACAAACAACACGGCAUCUGAAAACAACAAUGGAGAAGAAAACCAGAAGGCAGGUGGAGGAUCAUCGUUAUGUCUCUCGGUUUGGCAACACUCAUAACAAGUGUUGUGGUGGUCAACAUAUGGGCAAGAGUUAAAGGCGCAUGAUGAUGAAAAUGAAGGUACGGAAGGAUGCAGAACGUUGCAGAGCCUUCUACGCCUGUCUGAAUCCACUGAUCAACAUCCUCAACCCACCACGGAGUCCACUGCUGUUAAACAUCAUCUCAUCAUAUUUUAUAGAUAACUAAAUAAUGUUUAUUUAUAUUUCAGUCUGAGCUGGACA